GUGAGGAAUAUUGCGCAAUGGAGGCAACUCUGACGCAGCCAUGCCGCGUGCAGGAUGAAGGCCUUCGGGUUGUAAACUGCUUUUGUACGGAACGAAAAGACUCCUUCUAAUAAAGGGGGUCCAUGACGGUACCGUAAGAAUAAGGAUCGGCUAACUCCGUGCCAGCAGCCGCGGUAAUACGGAGGAUCCAAGCGUUGUCCGGAUUUAUUGGGUUUAAAGGGUGCGUAGGCGGAUCUUUAAGGCAGUGAGGAAAGCCUGCAGCUUAACUGUAGAAUUGCCAUUGAAACUGAAGAUCUUGAAUGUGGUUAAAGUAGGCGGAAUGUAUCAUGUAGCGGUGAAAUGCUUAGAUAUGAUACAGAACACCGAUAGCGAAGGCAGCUUGCUGAACCAUUAUUGACGCUGAGGCACGAAAGCGUGGGGAGCGAACAGGAUUAGAAACCCUGGUAGUCC
rnacentral:rRNA from 1 species